ACUCAAAGGAAUUGACGGGAGCCCGCACAAGCAGUGGAGUAUGUGGUUUAAUUCGAUGCUACGCGAAGAACCUUACCAGGACUUGACAUCCUAAGAAGGCGGGGUAAAUCCUGCCGUGCCCUUCGGGGAGCUUAGAGACAGGUAGUGCAUGGUUGUCGUCAGCUCGUGUCGUGAGAUGUUGGGUUAAGUCCCGCAACGAGCGCAACCCUUACGGUUAGUUGCUACGCAAGAGCACUCUAGCCGGACUGCCGUUGACAAAACGGAGGAAGGCGGGGACGACGUCAAAUCAUCAUGCUCCUUACGUUCUGGGCUACACACGUACUACAAUGGCGUAAACAACGGGGAGCGAAGGAGCGAUCCGGAGCAAAUCCCAAAAAUACGCCCCAGUUCGGAUUGCAGGCUGCAACUCGCCUGCAUGAAGUCGGAAUUGCUAGUAAUCGCGGAUCAGCAUGCCGCGGUGAAUACGUUCCCGGGCUUUGUACACACCGCCCGU
rnacentral:rRNA from 1 species